UUUAUUGUCGCCAAUGAUGGAUAUUUGUUAAGAUGAAAUAAAAAUGAUUUUAACUUCAAAGUUUCGUCACUACCACUGAGGCGGCAUCUCU